CACACACACACGUGUCCAUAGCGAGAGCUUCCACUUUGCAUUAUCAGCUCAUGCUUCAGUGCCCUGUGAGUGUUUAUAGCCCUGUGACUUUAACACUUCAUGACUGAGAGCUGCUGCUCAGCGACUUCACCCACAGAAACCAUGAGUUUGAUCAGCGUCUUCAUCUGCACACUGCUCCUCUGUGCUCAAGGAUCCCAAAGUCAGGCCAUUGUGACUCAGAGUCCUGCAGUGAAAUCUGUUUCUCCAGGAGACACAAUCACCAUCAGCUGUAAAACUAAUGUUGCUGUUGAUACAUUUACAUUUACAGCAUUUGGCAGACGCCCUUAUCCAGAGCGACGUACAUAAGUGCUUAAAUCUCUAACACUGAAUACAUUAAUGCUGGUUC